CGGUUGAUCCUGCCGGACCUGACUGCUAUCGGAUUGAUACUAAGCCAUGCGAGUCAUUGUAGCAAUACAAGGCAUACGGCUCAGUAACGCGUAGUCAACCUAACCUAUGGACGGGAAUAACCUCGGGAAACUGAGAAUAAUGCCCGAUAGAACACUAUACCUGGAAUGGUUUGUGUUCCAAAUGAUUUAUCGCCGUAGGAUGGGACUGCGGCCUAUCAGUUUGUUGGUGAGGUAAUGGCCCACCAAGACUAUUACAGGUACGGGCUCUGAGAGGAGUAGCCCGGAGAUGGGUACUGAGACACGGACCCAGGCCCUAUGGGGCGCAGCAGGCGAGAAAACUUUGCAAUGUGCGAAAGCACGACAAGGUUAAUCCGAGUGAUUUGUGCUAAACGAAUCUUUUGUUAGUCCUAGAACCACUAACGAAUAAGGGGUGGGCAAGUUCUGGUGUCAGCCGCCGCGGUAAAACCAGCACCUCAAGUGGUCAGGAUGAUUAUUGGGCCUAAAGCAUCCGUAGCCGGCUCUGUAAGUUUUCGGUUAAAUCUGUACGCUUAACGUACAGGCUGCCGGGAAUACUGCAGAGCUAGGGAGUGGGAGAGGUAGACGGUACUCGGUAGGAAGGGGUAAAAUCCUUUGAUCUAUUGAUGACCACCUGUGGCGAAGGCGGUCUACCAGAACACGUCCGACGGUGAGGGAUGAAAGCUGGGGGAGCAAACCGGAUUAGAUACCCGGGUAGUCCCAGCUGUAAACUAUGCAAACUCAGUGAU
rnacentral:rRNA from 1 species